CGAUAGCGUACCCCGUCCCUUUGGUUUAGCUCUUGACUCUCAUCUUCACUUUUAAAGACCGAAGUAUCGGACUUCAAUGGAAAAAACCUAAUAGCCCUUCUUCUUCAGCACACCACCAAACCAGUUGUUUCUUCUCUUCUUCAACCCUUACCCACGGACAGAGAACGAGAGGACAAAAAGAAAAAUUUUUGGGAUUUUUUUUCUUUUGGAAUUUCCUUUCGAUUCUCUCGUUUCUUUGGAAAUUUCAUAGAAAGUAGAAACAUGUAAAAUGAUGCUUCUCUUUUUAAGAUGUUUGAUGUCUGAAAUUUUAACAAAGGAAAUGCCAAAAUAUUUUAAGUUUCUACUUCUUAGUUGAUUUGGGCUUCAAGUAUAGAGGUUGAUUGAGUUGAGGCGCUAUCCAAAGUUGUUUUGCUUGAGUUCCAUCCAUUUCAGAUUUCGGCUUUAGCUGUUAGCUCACCUUGUUCGUGUAAUUGCUGAAAAUUUCAGUCAGUCGAAGCUCUAAUUUUAGGUGUAAAGAAGUUGUGUUUGCUGGGUUUAAUUCUUCAAAUUUGAUGAACUCUUGCUUUUCCUUCUCAAAUGCAUGUUAUGGCAAAGUUUUUCUUUGACCUUUAUUUGGUCGUGGAUCUUCUGUUUGAAUUCAAGUUACUAGGUAUGUGACUAUACCUUUGUAUUUUUGUUAAGAUGUUAAUCAAAAAUUUGAAGUACAUGUUAGUUUGUUAUUUGAUAUGAGAUUUAUCCACACUGAGUGGUCCAGUUGUGAUGUGUUUGUCUUUGCAUUAUGAAGUUAAUAGUCUUGAUUGUUGUCAAUAUGUUUUCUGCAUUUGUUUGUUUGUUUGCUUGAUAUUUGAAAUGCAUUUGAAUCCUGCCCUCUUGGAAAUCUUAUUUUGAAUAUCGCUUGAGACUGGUCAGUUAUGCUAAUAAUGUGAAAGCUUAUGGAGUUAGUUGAAAAAUUGUAAAAUUUCAACUUUGAGAUAGUCAUUUAGAUUAGUUGUUCAAGCUAUGAUGUAACUCUUACUAUUAACCUCUCUUAGAUAGGUUUGAACCAUGUAAAUUAACGAACUAUCCGUGUAUUGAAUCUCUGUUCGCGUAUUUAAUUAUAAUAAAUUAUCGUUAUUGUGUACAUAUUUACGUGACAUGAUUAUGAUCCUAAUAACGAAAUUGAGGUAUGCGUUUGUGCAACUUCGACCGAACUUUCUUAAUAUUUAAUAAAGCCUGAUUAAUUGUUAAAAUAAAAAUGCAACUCCUUUUUAUUAAAAUAAAUGAGGUGUGCUAUGCCAAACAAAGUUUAUAAUUCAUGGCGCUCGUAAGAUUAGAGUAAGAACUAACACUUAUAGAAAAGGUUUGAGGUGUGCCAUAAAUAAAUUAAAUCAUCCAUGGCCCUAAUGUUGCUUUUAAAAAUUGAAUAAUCGUAGUUUGUUUUAGGCUUGAUUUAGACUAUUAUUGUGAUUAUGUAUACAUUCGCAUAACAUAAUUGCGAAUUUAAUUCUAAAAGUAACUCGAGGGAUGCAUUCGUGCAACUUCAACUAAACUUUUCUUAAAAAAUAAAUAAAGCGUUAUUAAUUGUGGACACGUUCGCGUGACAUGAUUUUUGACACGCCAAAAGAAAAGAGUUUACUUACGCGUAACUCAAUUCUUUAAUUACGAAUUAUCAAGUGAUUAAAAGCAGUAAAAGAUAAAAGCACAUAUGUCCUAAAAAUAAGUAAUUAGACAACUUAAGCCAAGUAUAAAUCGCUGAGCGACCGUGCUAGAACAACGGAACGCGGAAAUGCCUAACACCUUCUCCCGAGUUAACAUAAUUCUUUAUCUAGAAUUUCUGAUUUGCAGACCUUUAAAAAUUAAAAUUUUCCUCAAUUUGGGAUUUAAAAAUAAACCGGUGACUUGGGACACCAUAAUAAACUAUCCCAAGUGGCGACUCUGAUAAAUAAAAUAAUCUCAUUUCGAUUAAUGUCACUUAAAUUGGAAAAACUCCCUUAUAUACCUCUCGGGGUGUGUAAAAAGGAGGUGUGACAAGGUCUAACAAGAGGCCUCAUCAUUCUGGCAGGUUCAGUGGUGCCUCGUCCAAAGGUAGGGAUUCUUUUGGUAGGGUCCAUCCUUCCAGGCCGUUUCAUUCAGCACUUCAAGCUUCUCAGGGUGCUCCAGGUGGUCGUGGUUCUCAUAUGCAGUAUUUAGAUCAGCUACUUUAUAGUGCACCACCAGCUCCUAUUAGUGGACUGUCGCUCCAGAGUUUUCAGGGUGGUUAUUCAGGCCAUCAGGGUCAGUAGUCUCAGCAACUGAGGAUUUGUUAUACUUGUGGCGAUUCGAGGCAUAUUGCUAGAUUUUGCCCUCGAGCAGCUCUCAGCUCUCAACAUCAAGGUUCCCGUGUCAUGGUUUAGGAACCGAGUGUUCCACUACCUACUCAGCCAACUAGAGGUAGGGGUCGAGAUGUUAGAGGUGGAGGUCAGGCCUUUAGAGGUAGAGGUCGGGCAGCUAGAAGUGGAGGCCAGCCAGCAGGAGGCCAUCCUCGGGAUGUAGUUCAGAGUUGUGGGGCUCAGCCCCGAUGUUAUGCUAUUCCAGCUAGACCUGAGGUUGAGGCCUCCGAUGCAGUCAUCACAGGUACGAUUUUAGUAUGCAGCAGAGAUGCUUCAGUUUUAUUUGAUCCAGGGUCUACAUAUUCAUAUGUGUCAUCUUAUUUUGCCCCUUAUUUGGUUGUGGCUCAUGAUUCUCUGGUGAGUAUUCUUGAUCUCUCUUAAUAUCUCUCUCAAUUCGAAAAUCCAGGAUUUGAAUUGAUGUCCUCUCAUUGAUUCCUCCUAAAUUGCAUUGAUUUAUCCUAAAGAUUUUAUUUCAAUUGGAAUUGAGUGCACAUGUAUAUGUGUCUACACCGGUGGGUGAUUCUAUUGUUGUAGAUCGAGUCUAUCGCUCGUGUGUGGUUAUUAUUGGGGGUCUUGAGACACGUGUAGAUCUCUUACUUAUCGAUAUGGUAGACUUCGAUGUCAUUUUAGGGAUGGACUAGUUAUUCCCUUAUCAUGUUGUAUUGGACUAUCACGCCAAGAUUGUGACCUUAGCCUUGCCGGGUGUUCCUCGAUUGGAGUGGAGAGGUACUCCUAGUCAUUUUGUUAUUAGGGUUGUUUUUUAUAUAAAGGCUCAGUGUAUGGUUGAAAAAGGGUGUUUGGCUUAUGUGGCAUAUGUUCGUGAUUCUAGUGCUAAGGUUUCGUCGAUGGAUUCUGUGCCUGUUGUUCGUGAGUUUCUAGAGGUAUUUCCUUCAAACCUACCGGGGAUGUCAUCCGAUAGGUAUAUUGACUUUUGCAUUGAUUUGGCUUCGGGCACUCAGCCUAUUUCUAUCCCGUAAUAUCGUAUGGCCCCGCCAGAGUCCAAAAAAUUGAAAGAACAGUUGCAAGACCUGCUUGAUAAAGGCUUUAUUAGACUUAGUGUCUCGCCUUGGGGUGCGCCGGUGUUGUUUGUUAAGAAGAAGGAUGGAUCGAUUAGGAUGUGUAUAGACUAUCGGCAGUUGAACAAAGUCACAAUUAAGAACAAGUAUCCAUUGCCGAGGAUUGAUGAUUUGUUUAAUCAGCUUCAGGGUGCCAAAGUGUUUUCGAAUAUUGAUUUGAGAUCUGGCUACCAUUAGUUGAUGAUUAGGGCAUCUGAUGUCCCUAAGAUAGUUUUUCGCACUCGUACGGGCAUUACGAGUUCUUGGUGAUGUCAUUUGGGUUGACAAAUGCCCCAACAACUUUUAUGGAUUUAAUGAACCGAGUGUUCAAGCCUAAAUUGGAUUCCUUCAUGAUUGUCUUCAUUGAUGAUAUUUUGAUCUACUCCCGUAGCCGGGGGAGCAUGAGUAGCAUCUUCGAGUCAUUCUCUAGACUUUGAGGGACAGUCAAUUAUAUGCUAAGUUUUUGAAAUGUGAGUUUUGGUUGAGUUCAGUUGAAUUCCUGGGCCAUGUUGUAUCAGUAGAAGCUAUUUAGGUGGAUCCUAAGAAGAUUGCGGCAGUCAAGGACUGGCCUAGACCCACAUCAGCUACAGAGAUCCGGAGUUUUUUGGGUUUGGCGGGCUAUUAUCGUCGGUUUGUGGAGGGAUUUUCAUCUAUUGCAGCCCUGAUGACCAUGUUGACCCAGAAGGGUGCCAUUUUAGGUGGUCGGACGAGUGUGAGGCGAGCUUUCAGAAGCUCAAGACAGCUUUGACUACGGCGCCAGUGUUGGUUUUACCUAGAAGUUCAGGUCCAUAUACAGUGUAUUGUGAUGCAUCUCAUAUUGGACUCGGUGCGGUGUUGAUGAAGAAUAGCAAGGUUAUUGCAUAUGCUUCGUGACAGUUGAAGAUCUACGAGAAGAAUUAUCUAGUUCAUGAUUUGAAGCUAGCAGCCAUUGUUCACGCGCUAAAGAUUUGGAGGCAUUAUUUUUAUGGCAUGUCAUGUGAGGUGUUCACGGAUCACAAGAGUUUGCAAUACUUGUUCAAGCAGAAGGAACUAAAUUUGAGGCAAAGGAGGUGGUUGGAGCUAUUGAAAGACUAUGAUAUCACCAUCUUGUAUCAUCUGGGAAAGGCCAAUGUAGUGGUCGAUGCUUUAAGUAGGAAGACAGCCAGUAUGGGCAGUCUUGCAUAUAUUCCAGUCACUGAGAGACCGCUUGCUUUGGAUGUUCAGACUUUAGCUAAUCAGUUUGUGAGGUUGGAUGUUUCUAAGCCUAGCCGUGUGCUAGCUUGCAUAGUCGCUCAUCUACAUUAUUUGAGUGUAUCCGAGAUUGACAAUAUGAUGACCCUAAUUUGCUUGUCCUUAGAGACACAGUGAGGCACGGGGGUGCGAAGCAGGUUACAGUAGGAGAUGAUGGAGUUUUGAGGAUGUAGGGUCAUAUCUGUGUGCCUAAUAUGGAUGGACUUUGUGAGUUGAUUCUAGAGGAGGCCCAUAGUUCCCGGUACUCUAUUCAUCCGGGCACCGCCAAGAUGUAUCAGGACUUGCGGCACCAUUAUUGGUGGAGGAGGAUGAAGAAGGAUAUUCUUGCAUAUGUAGCUCGGUGUUUGAAUUGUCAGCAGGUAAAAUACGAGCAUCAGAGACCUGGUGAUUUGUUCCAGAAGAUUGAGAUUCCUGAGUGGAAGUGGGAGUGUAUCACUAUGGACUUCAUUAUUGGACUCCCACGAACUCAAAGAAAGUUCGACGCAGUGUGGGUUAUUGUAGAUAGGCUCACUAAGUCAGCGCAUUUCAUUCUUGUGGCAGUUUCCUAUUCUUUUAAGUGGUUAGUAGAGAUUUAUAUCCGUGAGAACCUUCGUCUUCAUGGUGUGCCCAUGUCUAUCAUUUCUAAUUGUGGUAUGCAGUUUACCUCGCACUUCUGGAGGGUAUUUCAGCGAGUUGGGUACUCGGGUCGAGUUGAGUACAACAUUUCAUCCUCAGACGGACGGACAGUCCGAGCGUACAAUUUAGAUUUUGGAGGAUAUGCUCCGAGCAUGUGUUAUUGACUUUGGAGGUUCAUGUGAUCAGUUCUUUCCAUUAGCAGAGUUUGCCUACAACAAUUAUUACCAAUCGAGCAUCUAGAUGGUUCCCUAUGAGGCAUUAUAUGGUAAGCAAUGUCGGUUGCUGGUUGGAUGGUUUGAGUUGGGAAAGGCUCGAUUGUUGGGUACAGAUCUAGUGUAGGAUGCCUUGGAUUAAGUUAAGAUCAUUCAGGAUAGGCUUCAUACAACUCAGUCAAGGCAAAAAAGUUAUGCUGACCGUAAGGUUCGCGAUGUGGCAUUCAUGGUCGGAGAGCGAGUGUUGCUUCGGCUGUCGCCCAUGAAAGGCGUGAUGAGAUUUGGGAAGAAGGGCAAGCUAAGCCUUAGAUUCAUUGGUCCUUUCAAGAUUCUUGAUCCAGUGGGAUAGGUGGCUUACCUACUUGCGUUUCCGUCGAGUUUAUCAGCUGUGCACCCAGUGUUUCAUGUGUCCAUGCUUUGAAAGUAUCAUAGUGAUCCAUCCCACCUGUUAGACUUCAGCAUUGUCCAGUUGGACAAGGUCUUAACCUAUGAGGAGGAGCCGGUAUCUAUUCUAGACCGGCAGGUUCAUCAGUUGAGAUCGAAGAAUUUCCCUUCAGUUCGUAUGCAGUGGAGAGGUCAACCUGUUGAGGCAGCGACCUAGGAGUCCGAGUCUGAUAUGCGGAGCCGUUAUCCUCAUCUUUUCACUGACUCAGGUACUUUUCUAUGUCCGUUCAAGGUCAAACGGUUGUUUUAGAGGUGGAGAAUGUGAUGACCCUAAAGGUCAUCUCUUGUUUUAGAAGUAAAACGGUGUUCCGAGGCCUUAAAACCCUCUUUUUGUCUCACCUCGAUUUCUGUGCGCUGUCCGGCGCAUUUCCGGAAAGCUUUUAUGUGAAAUUUUACAAAAAUAAUGAAUUUGGUCUGUAAAAUUGGUUAAAGUUGACUUUGGUCAACAUUCUUGGUAAACUGACCUGGACCCAUGAUCGGACGGUCCCGCAGGGUCCAUAGUAAAAUAUGGGACUAGGGCGUACGCUCGGAAUCAAAUUCUGAGGUCCCAAGCUCGAGAUAAGAAUUUUUAAAGAAAAUUAUUUGCUGGAAAAUAUAAAGGCUUUUAGAAGUGAAAUGAUAUAUUUUUUUGAUGGUAUCAGGUCCGUAUCUUGGUUCCAGAUUCUGGUACAUGUUUGAAACAAUAAUUAAGUUAAAUAUGUGAAAUUUGGUAAGAAUCGGAAUUGGUAUAGUGUAUAAAUCGGACCUAUAGUUGAGAAGAUGGAAAUUUCAAUGUUCUUGGGUAAUUUCAUGAAUUUGAGGUUAAAUUCGUAGUUGUUGAUGUUAUUUUGAUGAUUUAAUCGCACGAGCAAGUCCAUAUGAUGUUUUUAAACUUGCGUGCAUGAUUGGUUUGGAGCCCCGAGAACUCGGGUGAGUUUUGGAUAGGCCACAGAGUGAAUUUGGACUUAGGAAAAUUGCUGGUAUGUUGCAGUUGUGUAAUAGGCCUCUGAUCUCGCAAUUGUGAGAUCAGGCUUCGCAAAUGCGAAGUGCUCAGGUUUCGGAAAUGCAACCACAGUGUUGCAAAUGUGAACCAAGCCUACGCAGGCCCUCUUCGCAAAUGCGAACACUGGGUUGGGAAUUGCGAAGCCUGCCCAUCGCAAAUGCGACAUUUUCCUUUACAAUUGCGAAAAUGAAAGAAUUCCAAAGGGUUUGCAAUUACGAACCCCUGGUCACAAUUGCGACAUCAGAGACCUGUUAAGUGGGAUUUUUUACAGGAUUCUUCUUCACUUUUAUAAUUUUUCAAACCCUAAACUCCCAUAGACGAUUUUCUUGAAGAGAGUUCUUCCCCAAAUCAUAGGUAAACGAUUUCUAACUUAUUUGUUUUCAAUUUAUAACAUUUUUUACAUGAUUUCAUUUCAAAAUCAUGGGUUUUUCAUGGGAAAUUGGGUGUUUUUGGGUAGAAGUUAGGAUUUUCAAAUUUUGAGGAUUUGGACCUCGAUUUGAGGUCCGAUUUCAAAACUAAUUACAUAUUUGAGUUCGUGAGUGAAUGGGUGAUCAGUUUUUGGUUCGAACUUCGGGUUUUGACCAAGCGGACCCGGGGUUGAUUUUUUACUUUUUGGGGGAAAAUAAUGGAAAAUCUAUUUUCAUACAUUAGAAUUGGUUUAUCUAGCAUAUAUUAAUGUUAUUAAGUGAAUUAUGACUAGAUACAAGCGAAUUGAAAGUGGAACCGAGAGGUAAAGUGGUAGUAUAGGCUUAAUUUAUCCGUGGAAUCGAGGUAAGUAUUUGGCCUAACCUUAGCUAGAGGGAAUAGGAGUUAUGGUCUAUUUGCUAUGUGUUUGUAUCGAGUACGAUGUAUAAGUGUGGUGACGAGUAUCUAUACAUUGGUGUCAAGCAUGUCCGUGAGUCUUAUAUCAUGACUUUGUGAACCUAUUAUGUACCAAUCAUGCUCAAUUGAUGAAAGUUUCUUGGUAAUUGACCAUUGUUGAGUAUUGACUCAAAUUGAAGUGUCAUUUUGUAUGGAAAUUGUUGAAACGAGAUUGGUUAUAGUUGAAUCCCUUGCCGUGAUAUUUUGUUGAUAUUGUUGAUUCCCUUGCCGAGACAUAUUGUUUUCCAUUGUUUAGGGUGAGGAAAAGCGUAAAGCAUGAAGGGUGAUGUCGUGCAUGAUAUUGUUAGAGAGCGUAAAGCACGAAGGGUGAUGUCGUGCAUGAUAUUGUUAGAGAGCGUAAAACACGAAGGGUGAUGUCGUGCCAAUAUUAUGAGUGUUAAUGCAUGGAGGGUGAUGUCGUGCCAUGAUUUAAGAGUUAAUGCACGAAGGGUGAUGCCGUGCUGAUAUUGUGAGGAAUAAUGCACGCAGGGUGAUGUCGUGCUGAUAUUGUGAGAAAUAAUGCACGCAGGGUGAUGUCUUGCCAUGAUUAUGUAAGGUAAUGCACAAAGGGUGAUACCGUGUCAUUUCUGUUGUUUCAUAUGGUGAGGACUAGAGUAAAAGCACAAAGGGUGAUGUUGUGCACAUGUUACCGGUUCAUUAUUCUUGUUGAUGUAGAUAUGAUGAUCACUAUGCUUCUUUAUUGAUGCUUCUUUAUUGGCUUAUUGUUAUAACCGGUUAUUCCCGCAGCAUGUUCCCUUCCCACUUUGUUCUAUUGAUUCCUGCUAUUAUGAUUCUGUCUGUAUAUGAUUUAACUGCACAUGUAUAUAUGAUUGUCGUGUCCUAGCCUAGUCACUACUUCACCGAGAUUAGGCUCGACACUUACUCAAUAUAUGGUGUCGGUUGUACUGAUACUACACUCUGCACUCUUUUUGUAGAUUUUGGUACCGGACCCGAUGAGUAGCUGAGGUAGCUGCCUUCAGUCUAGGGAGACCAAGGAAGAUCUGAUGGCGUCCGCAGAGCCUGAAGUCCAUCUUCCAUGCUUAGCUUGCUGCUAUCUCUUUUCUUUUUCGAGAACAGUUGUACUUUCUUUUCAGACCAGUAUUUGUAGUAACUCGUAUAUGUUCGUGAAGUUGUGAAACCAGAUUCGUGGGUAG
rnacentral:lncRNA from 1 species